rnacentral:rRNA from 1 species
AUGGAGCUUUAGACACUAGGCAGCCCACGUCAAACUUCCCCUUUCAAGGGGCAAAAACAUUGUGAUUCCUGUCUCUCCUGUCUUCGGUUGGGGCGACCGCGGAGGAUAAAAGAGCCUCCAUGUGGACCGAGGUUACUAGCCUCACAACUAAGAGCUGCAGCUCCAAGCACCAGAAAUUCUGACCAAAAUGAUCCGGCACAGCGCCGAUUAACGGAACA